rnacentral:misc_RNA from 1 species
AUUUUUGGACCCAUCCAGACAGAGCCAUCACAAAAGCUUACGACAAGACUGACAAGGCAAUUCUUUCGCAUAAUCCUGAUCUUGGGCGAGGUGGCUCCACUGCUGUUACUGCUAUUCUAAUAGACGGUAGGAAGCUGUGGAUGGCCAAUGUUGGUGAUUCACGAGCAGUCCUUGCUAAAGGUGGACGGGCUUUACAAGUGACAGUCGAUCAUGAACCUAGCACUGA